AACCGAAAAAAAUAAAAAAAAAAAAUAUCGUGGAAGAUUUUAGAAAUUGUAUUCUCUAAAUUCUUGGGAUUCAAAAAUAAGCUACAAUUCCAAGAGGUGUAUAAAUACGUGUACGUAUCAAAUUCCAAAAAUACCGUCCGUUGGUGAACAAACACAUGCACGCGUUCGUCCUUGUACGAUUAAGUAGACGCGUGUAUUCCAUAGACCAGACCAGUUGAACAAACAAGUCGGAUGGUCAAGUAAAAGAAGAAGAAGAAGAAGAAGAAGAGAAAAAAGAAAAGAAAAGAAAAGGAAAAGCAUCGAAAAGAGAGAGACGAUGAGAGCACGAACGGACGAUAAAAAAAUCUCCACGUCGAUCUAAAGGUAAACGCGUAUACGCAUGCAAUACGAGUUUGCUAUCCUGGGACGCUUGCGCGCGCGCGCGCGAUCACACCGCGGAAAGUGAAAUUUUCGCGAUUGCGUAAUGCUAGCAUAAUAGUAUUAUCCGACGUAGAUCGUGAGCUACACUAUUACGAAGUAUAGUAGCUAACGAAGGUACGAUUGACCUCGUUGCGGUUCUUGAACCUAAUAUCGAAAUCCCUCCCCCCCACCCCUCUCCUCCCUCCCUCUCCCUUUUUUCGCAAAAUAUAUUUUCGAUCGUAUUGUAUGGUUUUAUUGGUGUGUGUCGCCUUAUUGAUUUCAUUCUUCGCAUUACUUAUGUAAAAGUUUUAAAAGAGAUCGGUAACCAGUCUAAAGUGUUCAAGGUUCUUUAACGUUUGUCAAAUGAACAGAAUAAGUAUAGUUUGAGUGAAGGACUUCCAGAUUUUCGAUCCCUUCUCCGAUAUCGUGGCGUCCUUGCUCCGUGAAAAAUCUGACUGGUAUACGCGUAUAUCGAACAAAAUACACGUUUAUCUUAUAUCUUUAACGUUCCACGAGGUUCCUCGUGAAA